rnacentral:rRNA from 1 species
ACACCCCGGCCACCGAUCCCUCUGUUUGUUGUUANGGCGAUCAUGGAUGAAGUGUUUGACUACUUCACCACCAUGACCCUGCCGGCACAGCUCCGUAUCGCGCUGGCUUGCUGCCUCAACAUGUGCGGCGCGGUUCACGCCUCUGACAUCGCAGUCCUCGGUGUUCACCGGUAAGCCACCGAUGAUCGAUCAUGACGCCAUCACCGGUUCUUUGCGAACUGCCUUUGGCCAUUGCCUCCUGUCCGCUGGGUGCUAUCAAGCCUGCUAAGGCCACCAACGAUAAGGGCGAAGAGAUCAAAUCAGUUGUCGUCAAUUCACCCAAGUGCAUGUUCUGCGGAUAGCUACA